UACGAAGGGGGCUAGCGUUGCUCGGAAUUACGGGGCGUAAAGCGCACGUAGGCGGUUUGUUAAGUCGGGGGUGAAAUCCUGGAGCUCAACUCCAGAACUGCCUUCGAUACUGGCGAUCUCGAGUCCGGGAGAGGUGAGUGGAACUGCGAGUGUAGAGGUGAAAUUCGUAGAUAUUCGCAAGAACACCAAUGGCGAAGGCAGCUCACUGGCCCGGUACUGACGCUGAGGUGCGAAAGCGUGGGGAGCAAACAGG
rnacentral:rRNA from 1 species